rnacentral:rRNA from 1 species
GAUGAACGCUAGCUACAGGCUUAACACAUGCAAGUCGAGGGGAAACGACAUCGCAAGCUUGCUUUUGAUGGGCGUCGACCGGCGCACGGGUGAGUAACGCGUAUCCAACCUGCCCAUCACUUGGGAAUAACCUUGCGAAAGUAAGACUAAUACCCAAUGACAUCCCACGAAGACAUCUGAAUGGGAUUAAAGAUUUAUCGGUGAUGGAUGGUGAUGCGUCUGAUUAGCUUGUUGGCGGGGUAACGGCCCACCAAGGCAACGAUCAGUAGGUGUUCUGAGAGGAAGGUCCCCCACAUUGGAACUGAGACACGGUCCAAACUCCUACGGGAGGCAGCAGUGAGGAAGAGUAGUCAAUGGGCGAGAGCCUGAACCAGCCAAGUAGCGUGCAGGAUGACGGCCCUAUGGGUUGUAAACUGCUUUUAUAAGGGAAUAAAGUGGGUCUCGUGAGACUUUUUGAAUGUACCUAAUGAAUAAGGACCGGCUAAUUCCGUG